GAACGUCAGGCCAGAGGCUCCGAGGGCCCAGGUUCGAACCCCAGCUGCGCAGGCCGUGGGGGAGGCUGCGGCAGCACUGGCUAGAACCCUCGCCCUCCUGGUGGAGAGCCUCCCACGACGGCGGGCACGACACUCUGACCAGGGUCGGGCUGGCAGCGGGGACCCCGGCGGCGCGGCUCAGUGGGCCCGGCAGCCGCCCCGCAGCUCCGUCAGCAAAAGCAACGAAGGAACAAAAACGAAACACACUCAGUAGGUUCUCCGCGAAGCUCCCCGAGUUUCUGGCCCGAUCCCGCGCCUCCAGCCGGCCCGGGCCGCCUCACGCCCCGGCCGGGGAAACCCUGCUUAACUUAAAAAAGCCAGGAUACGCCGUAGAAAAGUUCUCUUAAAAAUCUCACAAUUUGUAAAUGUGUCUUUUGUCUCUAACAGAAAAGUUUCCAAUAAAAGGGAAACGAAAUGCUCAGGAAAGGAAUCUUGGGGGAAAA